rfam:Triticum aestivum genome assembly, contig: Triticum_aestivum_CS42_TGACv1_scaffold_095832_2AL
GGUUAGAUGAUGCUACAACAACAUAUUCCCGAGAUUCUCUUUGAGAAUACAAAAUUGAGGUUUUUAAGACUGAUGGCCA